rnacentral:miRNA from 1 species
GAUAAAACUGUUCUAUAAGCUCUA